AUGAGUUUUGUGCAAAAACAUCUGCUGGAAACCACCUUGCAGAAAUGCUGGACCUUCUGCACCAGCCAGGCUCAAACCGGCUUUGACCCCGUGAGCAAUGAAGAGGGGUUUGGGGGAGCGUUACCUUCAUCAGGGCAGCAUCAGGCGCAUCGUCGUUUUUUGGGGGGGAACAAGACGGCGAAACCUCUUCAGAGCCGCGAACGGGGUCCUGAAGGCUUUAAACCACUGACGGCUUUAGCUCCAGACCCAACCGGGUGCCGGGAGUCACCUGAUGGAGGGUGGAAAACCAGCGCUAUCCGGCAGGUAUUUUGGUGGGACGGCGGCUGCUGCUGGGGCACGGGAGGAUUUGCAGUGCCCCCGGGGCUCCCUCCGGCACGGUGCAACCUUCAUCUCCUGUUUUUCUCCAGCCCUGGAAAGUGGUACCCAAGCAGGGGACCACCCCAAAAAACGGGUGGUAUUUGCUUCCCCUUGCUGGGGGGAAAAAAAACAUAUUUUUUUGCUCUCUUUUUCUUGCAAACCGUCUUUUUUGUUGCCUGCCCUGAGUAUCGCUGGACCAAGCCGUGCCCUGGUGCUGUCGGACACCUCCACGGAUGUGCUCUCUCCUCCCGGACGACUGCAAAACGCCUCCCCGCACAUCUCAUGGGUUGAAUUUAAGAGUUGUGGCUUUUGGGGUAUAUUUUUUUCCCCCCUUUUCUUUUUUUUUUUCUCUCCUGUCUAAACAUUCCUCCGCAGCAUUAAACUGCAGGUAUUUUGGCAGCGGACAGAGCGCACGGGGCUCCGCACGUUGACAUCCGGGCGCGGGAAAAACCCUUGCUGGCUACGAACGGGAGGCAAAAAAGCGAUUUUUUCCUCCCCGGGGGGGGAAGAUGGGACCCUUUCGUAAGGGUUUCCGCAGAAACAACCUCUCGCUAAAUACCCCAGGGGGCUGUUGAAAUAGGAUUUUUUUUCUUUUUAAGAAAAAAAGUGAUUUUUUUUCUCCCCCUUCGCUAUUCCUUUCGAAGCAUCGGGACAAUUUGGUGAGUUUUGCCAAGCUCACUUCCCCCCCCCCCCUUUUUCCUCAUUUCUGCAUGUCUGAAAAUGAAUAUUUUCCAGUGUUUCGGAUUUUGGAGGGAGGAAAUAACAGCCGGGCCGAAACCUCCCCGCCGAUAACGUUAAAAAAAUGCCCCGCGCCAGCAGCGCCGCCGCCAAGGAAAACAGGCGCCGGGGGCCGCGCUGCCGAGCCUCCCGCGCGCCCCGCGGCGGAAAGCGCUUCAAGUCAGCAAAGCGCGGCCCCGCCGCCCAAUUAAGCACAAUCCCGGCCCGAAUUUACGGGAAAAGAGAUUAAACCUUGCAGGG
rnacentral:lncRNA from 1 species